AUUAUUUUGGCAGAUUAGUGCAUUAAAUUUAGAAUUUAAUUAUGUAUGUUUUACAAAUAAUA
rnacentral:tRNA from 1 species